UGGAAAUAUGAGUUGAAAACC
rnacentral:piRNA from 1 species